GGACCUCUGGCGCAACGGUAGCGCGUUCGACUCCAGCAUCAGCAUUCAUGCUGUCUGGCGACAUCGAAAGGUUAUCUAUUCAAAUCAGGUGGGGUUCA
rnacentral:tRNA from 1 species